AUAAGUCAAUAGAAAAGUAAAUAAAAUUGAAAUAUUCUAAGAUCCUUGCAUUAUCCAGGAAAAGGGUAUAUUUUCUUUCGUUCUUUCUUUUUUUUUUUUUUGGCCAUGCAGCUUGUGGGAUCUCAAUUCCCUGACCAGGGAUCAAACCCGGGUCCCUGGCAGUGAGAGUGAUGAGUCCUAACCACUGGACUGCCAGGGAAUUCCCUAUUUUCUAGGGAAACUAAUAAGGUUAGGGAGCCAAAGAAGGGAUUCUGCCAGUUGCUGAGUUUAUCUGUUCCAAAGACACACUCAAGAACUGGGGAAAUAACUACCAUUUGGUUCUUAUCAGCUCCAUCAAGAAGUAAACUUGGCCUCCCUCCUCUGACUGGUGGCUCACAAUGGUCUUCUGGGUCUAAAGGGAUUAGUAAGAGCCAUUGCUUAAUAAUCUUGAAAUGAAUAGGGUGUGUUGGCGAUGGUUUACUUUAUUUAAUGCCUAAAUGACGACUAUCAGGACAAUAUUAUGACUGAAAUAGAGAGGAGUGACCAUCACCAAGUGAUCCUGGACUUGGAGCUGGAUGCAGGAACUGAUGAGACUUUGGAUCUCCCCUUUUGGGGAGGUUAACAUUACUUGGUGUCAGAAGGGGGAUCCGAAGAUGAACCCCUGAAGAAUUAAUGAUUCCUGGAAUCAUGCACAGUACCCACUUGAUCUCCUUGUGCUCCCCACUUCCUUUUGGUUCGGUUCAAAAGAUUCAAUUCCAGAUGAUACUAUAACAAGGAUACCAGCCGGUUGGCACAUGGACUACGUUGGAGCAAGCCGCCUUAUCAUUCCGUGGGAUCUCAUCUCCCUUCGUAAAUACACCCUGACAGAGAGCAGGCAUUGGGAACCCGGGACCCCUAUGACGCCCAGUCCAGCAGGAAGAAGCUAGGCAUGUUGAACAGCAGUUGCUGAAGUGAUUUUGACGAAAUGUGACCUUUGAAGACUGUGGCCACUGACCAAAGAAUCUGAACUACAGUAUCCAACAUUUUACAGGCUACAAAACAUAAGCUGGCCAGCAUUUAUUGCUUGUACUAACAGCUUGAGUCAGGUUUCCUAAGCCUACAGAGAAGACCUCUUACUGCUGCUAAUUUUACUAUCAGCAAAGAAAAGGGAAAUAGGAAACCGUAUGGAAUGGCUGAAUGAGAGCCUUUGUGAGAGCAGUAUGGACUCGGAUUAUCUGAAGAGAGGGCAACUUUUUUCUAAAACUAAAAAGGACUCAAUUUGCGUAGAAAUAAAGUGGGAAAAAAUGUAAUGUAGAAAAAGUUAUAAGCAGAGAUUCUGCUCUGGCCUCUCAGGAUGGCAUUGAUUUACAUAUUAAGGCAGUCACCAGGGAACUGUUAAAAACCCUCUAGGGAAAUUUCCAAUGUGAUGGAUAGAACUUUAAUAUUAAUAUAGGAUUCAUCAUGAUAAUGUAAGUCAUAGAUCUAAGUCUCCCUUCAUCAAAUGAAUAGUCCCUUUCCAGCCUAUUAUACAGGCAGCACAUGCUUUAAAUAGUGUCAUGUGGGAGACUUGAAGUCUUUCUUUAUCUGCAGUUUCUGAAGUUUUGUUCACAGGAAUAGUGACCCACCGGGUCAUCCAUCUUUAAUUACGUCAUCUAGACCAUUUGCAUUUUCCCCUUUUUAUUAAUAUUUAGUGUUCCUUAAAAUAUACUUCCAUCGUACUUUUUUUCACAAAUAGAAAAAGCAUAAUUCAACACAUACUAUUUCAUACAUGCAGUGAGUAUGAAGGGAAGAUCUGAUUCUUAAUCUAUUCGUUGAUCAUUAUACAAGGAAAAAAGUGAUUUAUGGGUUGCUAUUUGAUUUAGUUAUCUAGUACAUAAUUAUCAACCAUAGGCAUGUGUAUUGUUCACUUUACUCUGGGUUUCCUAGUCUUCUAACACUGACACCCCACAAAAUGGUGGCUGAGUCUCUCUAGAAUCCUGUAAGACAAUGACAAUCUUUUUGGAAUGAGAAUGAUUGCAGUGUUGAUACCAAUAUAAUAAAUGCCAGUAAUAAUAAAUGUUAAGAUUCAUCUGCUGCUUUUUUCAGCAGAAAUUUGAAUAUUCAUUAGUGGAGCAUAUAAUCACCUUUUCUUACCUUAGCCCAAAACACGCAUGAAAAUAAAUUCAUAAGUACAGACUAUGAAUACAGACAUAAAUUGUGUACACA